rnacentral:rRNA from 1 species
ACGAGUGGCGGACGGGUGAGUAACACGUAGGUAACCUGCCCAGAAGCGGGGGACAACAUUUGGAAACAGAUGCUAAUACCGCAUAACAGCGUUGUUCGCAUGAACAACGCUUAAAAGAUGGCUUCUCGCUAUCACUUCUGGAUGGACCUGCGGUGCAUUAGCUUGUUGGUGGGGUAACGGCCUACCAAGGCGAUGAUGCAUAGCCGAGUUGAGAGACUGAUCGGCCACAAUGGGACUGAGACACGGCCCAUACUCCUACGGGAGGCAGCAGUAGGGAAUCUUCCACAAUGGGCGCAAGCCUGAUGGAGCAACACCGCGUGAGUGAAGAAGGGUUUCGGCUCGUAAAGCUCUGUUGUUAAAGAAGAACACGUAUGAGAGUAACUGUUCAUACGUUGACGGUAUUUAACCAGAAAGUCACGGCUAACUACGUGCCAGCAGCCGCGGUAAUACGUAGGUGGCAAGCGUUAUCCGGAUUUAUUGGGCGUAAAGAGAGUGCAGGCGGUUUUCUAAGUCUGAUGUGAAAGCCUUCGGCUUAACCGGAGAAGUGCAUCGGAAACUGGAUAACUUGAGUGCAGAAGAGGGUAGUGGAACUCCAUGUGUAGCGGUGGAAUGCGUAGAUAUAUGGAAGAACACCAGUGGCGAAGGCGGCUACCUGGUCUGCAACUGACGCUGAGACUCGAAAGCAUGGGUAGCGAACAGGAUUAGAUACCCUGGUAGUCCAUGCCGUAAACGAUGAGUGCUAGGUGUUGGAGGGUUUCCGCCCUUCAGUGCCGGAGCUAACGCAUUAAGCACUCCGCCUGGGGAGUACGACCGCAAGGUUGAAACUCAAAGGAAUUGACGGGGGCCCGCACAAGCGGUGGAGCAUGUGGUUUAAUUCGAAGCUACGCGAAGAACCUUACCAGGUCUUGACAUCUUGCGCCAACCCUAGAGAUAGGGCGUUUCCUUCGGGAACGCAAUGACAGGUGGUGCAUGGUCGUCGUCAGCUCGUGUCGUGAGAUGUUGGGUUAAGUCCCGCAACGAGCGCAACCCUUGUUACUAGUUGCCAGCAUUAAGUUGGGCACUCUAGUGAGACUGCCGGUGACAAACCGGAGGAAGGUGGGGACGACGUCAGAUCAUCAUGCCCCUUAUGACCUGGGCUACACACGUGCUACAAUGGACGGUACAACGAGUCGCGAACUCGCGAGGGCAAGCAAAUCUCUUAAAACCGUUCUCAGUUCGGACUGCAGGCUGCAACUCGCCUGCACGAAGUCGGAAUCGCUAGUAAUCGCGGAUCAGCAUGCCGCGGUGAAUACGUUCCCGGGCCUUGUACACACCGCCCGUCACACCAUGAGAGUUUGUAACACCCAAAGUCGGUGGGGUAACCUUUUAGGAGCCAGCCGCCUAAGGUGGGACAGAUGAUUAGGGUGAAGUC